CAUAAAUGUAAAUUCUACCUGUUGUCUGAUGAGCUCCUGCAAUGGGAAGAGAGCAGGCAGAAAUGUAUUUCUGCAGGAGGAGACUUGGUGACUAUUGACAGCGAGGAGGAACAGUCGUUCUUGGUGAACCAUAUCAACAGAACUACCCUCAAGAAAAUUCCCUUUUGGAUUGGGCUGACCGACAGACAGAAAGAGGGUCAAUGGCUGUGGUUAGAUGGCAAGUCUCUUCAGGACAACUUGACGUUCUGGGACAAGGAUCAGCCUGACAAUGGACCAGAUGGGGAACGUCCAGAAGGACAGGAUUGUGUUUGGCUUCACGGUGCACAUAUCAAUAACUGGAUGGAUGGAUAUUGUGUACGUCUUCAUGGAAGAAUAUGUGCAGUUUCUAUGUAACUAGUAAGCUAUUUAAAAGGAAUGCAGUACUUUGCAAACACCAACAACAGCACAGUUAAAAUUGAUGACAGCUUGCUAGCAUGCUAACUGAUGCCUUUUGGUGAUAUAGUUGGCAAUAUCGUGCUGUGGUGGUUUUCCACUGGGACUUGGACCACAAAACUACAUAGAAAUAGACUUUAUUUGUGUUGAUCUGUCCUUCACAUGACCAUACACCAUCAAAAUUAAUUUGAAGAAGAUAACCAAGUAGUCAAGUAAAAUCAUAAAUGGGUAAACCUCUUGAGGAACAACCGGUGGUUAGAAUAACAAAAUUCAACUUUGAGGGAUCAUCAGUCAUUUUGCAAGCUUGCACAUCAACAAGAAAACUGUGAAGAAUCUUUACACAAAAUGGUGGCCGUAAACCUUAAACUGCGCAACCACUAAACCAGAUAACAUCACAUGUCAUAAUAUGCUGAAGUAGGAAGAAAUGGGAACCCAACAUAAUAGUGGCCAGUUUCUAAAGGGACUCUGAUACUUCAUUAGAACCAGACUUCUUAUGUUGACCUUCAAUAAAGGCUUAAUUACUCAAUGAAUCUUCUUGAAGAACCUUUAUUUUAUAAUUAGUUGAAGAAAUUAUCCACAAGUGCCGUGGAUGCUAAAAGUACCUCCAUGUAUUUAAGUUGCACUUCAGUGACUCCAUUUCUCAUCGGCAGCGCUAUAGGCAGAGAACAGCAGGAUGUUUCGGUACAUGCAUUCCAGAGUUUAGAAGGUGAUUACUUUGUAUGCAAUAUCAGUGAAGGGAUAUGUGUAUUUUGCAUCUCCUAGAUUUUAAAUAAUUUAUUAGGAAUAAAGGCUUUUUUUCAUGAUCUCUGGUGUCCGUCUCAUUUUUAAAGUUGCAUUCCAGGAGCCGGGAUCGUAACAACAUUCUACUUCUUUGCUGAAAUUGGACAGACUAAAGUUCAAUCAAUGUAUCCAAAUUAAUAAAAUGUUAGUCAUCAUUACAACGUUCAAAUGGGUUGCACAUGUUCAGC